CCUACGGGGGGCAGCAGUGGGGAAUCUUGCGCAAUGGGCGAAAGCCUGACGCAGCGACGCCGCGUGGGUGACGAAGGCCUUCGGGUCGUAAAACCCUGUUGCAGGGGACGAAGGAAGUGACGGUACCCUGCCAGAAAGCCCCGGCUAACUACGUGCCAGCAGCCGCGGUAAAACGUAGGGGGCGAGCGUUGUCCGGAAUUACUGGGCGUAAAGGGCUCGUAGGCGGUAACUCAAGUCAGUUGUGAAAACCGACGGCUUAACCGGAGGAUUGCAGUUGAUACUGGGUUACUUGAGGCAAGGAGAGGAAGGUGGAAUUCCCGGUGUAGCGGUGAUAUGCGUAGAUAUCGGGAGGAACCCCAGUGGCGAAGGCGGCCUUCUGGUCUUGACCUGACGCUGAGGAGCGAAAGCCAGGGUAGCGAACGGGAUUAGAUACCCCGGUAGUC
rnacentral:rRNA from 1 species